rnacentral:rRNA from 1 species
GAUGAACGCUAGCGGCAGGCUUAACACAUGCAAGUCGAGGGGUAGGUUACUUCGGUAAUUGAGACCGGCGCACGGGUGCGUAACGCGUAUACAAUCUACCUUUUACAGAGGGAUAGCCCAGAGAAAUUUUGGAUUAAUACCUCAUAGUAUUUUUGAAUCGCAUGAUUUGAUUAUUAAAGUUCCAACGGUAAAAGAUGAGUAUGCGUCCCAUUAGCUAGACUGGUAAGGUAACGGCUUACCAUGGCUACGAUGGGUAGGGGUCCUGAGAGGGGAGAUCCCCCCACACUGGUACUGAGACACGGACCAGACUCCUACGGGAGGCAGCAGUGAGGAAUAUUGGACAAUGGGCGCAAGCCUGAUCCAGCCAUGCCGCGUGCAGGAAGAAGGUCCUAUGGAUUGUAAACUGCUUUUAUACAGGAAGAAACACUACUUCGUGAAGUAGCUUGUAC